UUAAGUUUUUUGAUUUUAUAAAAAAUACAUUGAAAAAAAUUGUAUAAAUAAUUUUUUAUUAAAAAACAAUAUAGCACGCGAUGAAGCGUACCGACGUGACUUCUAUAAUAUUUAAAAUAAGUGGGAUGGAGAUCCCUCCAUAUAUGCUUAAAUAUGAAAAAAUGCGGUUCUAUAAAAACAAACAAAAACUAAGAAGUUUGUCGGAAGGGUAGGCGACUCACCUUGUGUGCUAGAUUGCUACUCUUCCAAGAUCGGAGCUCAUUCCCCUCUCCUUUGUGUUUUAGUGUUUUUUUUUUUUUUUUAAAAAAAAAGAAACAUAAAUGACCCCUUCAAAACGACAGGUCUUCCGAAAAUUCAGAGGGGGCAUUUUGGUCAGUCCAAGUACAUAAACCGCCAAACCCAUCAUGGAAAGUGAGAAAAGCAGGGUCUUCGAUGAUGAGAAAUCAUUUUGUUUCAGUUUCUCAGCGACCAAACAGGGUCGAUCGGUCUAAGUGGAAGCAAUGCAAUCUCUGUACGGAAGUUUAAUUCGAAGACUAAACCUAAACACAUCUCAUUUCAAAUCCACUUUAGCUUAUUUACCUACUAAAAUUCAUGGAUUAAGCCUUUUCAACUCUGAUUCUUCAAACACUCUACCUUUUCGCUCAUUUCACCACUUGGCUGUAUCUUCCUCCUCCUUUUCCAUUCAAUUUUCGUGUUUAUUAUUUUUUUUAAUUAAUUUCUUCUUAAUUGGUUGUGGCAGCCAAAAUAUGGUGAAAUUGAGUGGGGAUGGCCGAAUUUGAGUGGUUGAAUUUGUCUGAUUGGGCAGAAAAAGGAGCGAAGAAUUUCCCACCUCGUAGGAAGAGCUUGACAACAUUGGCAGAAAAUUCUUCGGAAGGUACAGGCGAGUACCUAACAUAAAGGAGAUAGCGAUGCUCGAUGACAAGAAGAGAGCGAGGAGGGCCAAGCUUUAUUAUUUAAGAGACAGGAUGAAUUCACUGAAGAAACGUUAGCAAGUUCUAUAUCUAGUGGGGGAUCAAUUAUCCAUUCCUUGGGCAAGUUGGUGGAUUUCAUCAUCCUGGCAAGGAAAGUUACUGACCGUUUGUAUUCCAACUCCUUCUCCAUGUUAUUGUCAAGUUUAAUGUAAGGAUUUGUUUUUUGAAAUCUUGGGAUGAGGCCUCUGGUAGCAUAUUCAGCAAGCUGCAAGGUUUUGAAUUAUAAAUUGGCAAAGAAUCCCAUGAGCAUAAAUUCUGAUUCUCAGUUUAUUUAAUGUUACCUGCAUGAUUUCCUUAUA